GGAAGCUAUUUUGAGCCCAAAAGCCGAAAAACUCGGCCCAAUUCAACCCCAAAGGCAGAAGUAGAACCAAGCUCGAAGAAUUUUUUGGGCCCAGGGCUAUUCUUGGGCUUGGGCUUGAAUAUAAUUUCUAUGCGAUAAUUUUCAAUAACCUCUGGUUUUUCUUACGUUACUUCUCCAGAACAACCUGAAAAUUUCAAAUAUUGGGUGCGAACCGGCCGAAAAAUUUGAAAAUUUCCCGCUGAGUAUCGUCCGGAAUUUCCGAUUUUCGGUUUGUUACGGUUCGAAUCAGAGAUGGGUGGCAAGAAGAGGAGGAGAGUGGAGCGGCCGUCGAUACAUCCCAGAAACAAGUACUCCGAAAACCCGCCCGAUUUCGCCCUCUUGGCUUCCCUCUACCCAUCCUUCAAGCCCUUCGUUUUCUUGAACCGCGCUGGUCGACCCACAAUCGAUUGGACCGAUUUCAACGCCACCCGAGAGCUGACCCGAGUGCUUCUCCUCCACGACCAUGGCCUAAAUUGGUGGAUUCCUGAUGGGCAGCUUUGCCCUACAGUUCCAAACAGAUCAAACUAUAUCCAUUGGAUUGAAGAUCUUCUGUCUUCUGACAUUAUUCCUAAGACAAGCACUGAUGGAAAUAAUGUGAGGGGUUUUGACAUUGGAACUGGAGCCAAUUGCAUUUACCCACUUCUUGGUGCAUCUCUUUUGGGAUGGAGCUUUGUUGGGACAGAUGUGACAGAUGUAGCGCUGGAGUGGGCAGAGAAGAAUGUUAAAAGUAAUCCGCAUAUUUCAGAAUUAAUUGAAAUUAGAAAGGUUGAAAGUGAUGGCAGCACCCCUUCUGGGGAGGGGUUGCAUAUUGGUGAGUCAUUCAUUGUUGAAGGUGAAAAAGAUUUAAGUGGAAUUAAUGCGGGGGACACAGAGCCUUUGCCCUCAUGUUCACUUGAUGCAGAUUUGGGUUCAAAUAAAAGUUAUCAUGGGCCUCCUGUGCUCCUUGGCAUCCUGAAGGAUGGUGAGAAUCUUGACUUCUGUAUGUGUAAUCCUCCAUUUUUUGAGACCAUGGAGGAAGCAGGACUUAACCCAAAAACUUCAUGUGGGGGGACCCCAGAGGAGAUGGUUUGCCCUGGAGGAGAGAAGGCUUUUAUAACACGUAUCAUUGACGAUAGUGUGAUUUUGAAGCAAUCUUUUCGGUGGUACACUUCGAUGGUUGGGAAGAAAACAAACCUGAAGAUCCUUGUAUCAAAGCUUCGGAAUGUUGGAGUGACCAUAGUUAAGACAACUGAAUUUGUCCAAGGCCAAACAUGUCGUUGGGGGAUUGCUUGGUCUUUUGUGCCUUCUGCCAGGAAGUUGAUAUUGCCUCAUGUAGCCAAGAAGAACAAUCAGUCUUUCAUGCUUGAGGGUCUUCAACGCCAAUUUAGUGCCAUAAAUGUGCUACAAUCAGUUGAGUCCUUUUUCUGCACUAUCGGUGCAUCCUGUAAAUCCAAUGCUUCCUCGUUUACAGUUGAUGUUGCUAUAUCAAAUGAUCACUGUAAUGCAAUCCUGAAGACUGAAGUGCAAGGUUACAAUGAACUCAACAAUUACCAGUAUAUGCAAGAGAUUUGCGAUGGUUCAAGUUUCCCCCCUUCGUUUGAAGAACUAUGCUUCCGCAUUUUGGUUUUUCAGCAAAUUCCUGGGACGCUUUUGGUGAGAGGAUCAUUAAAAGAUAGAGAAAGCCCAGGCUCAGGAGUUUUUUGGUCAAUAUUCCAACAACUAGAGGAAGUACUAAAAAAUAAGUUUUGUAGAGAAAAGGCUUCUUAGAUUUGUCGUACUCUUAUCUGGGAACACAAGUCUGAAGCUUGCGAGCUUGCUCAAUUUCUCUUUCCCUUGAUAGAUUAUGCUAGGAGGGUGACUCUUCUAUCCACAUUUCAUCAGUCAAGAGCAACAGCUUCUAAGGAAGAUUGCACCAUCAAUAUGGGAUAUUAUUGCCAGCCUAGCUUUGUUAUGCCAUUCCAAGCUCGCCUCUACAAAAGAUCAGCAGAUGUUCCAGCUCAUUGGGUGGAUUCUAAAAUCAGAUUUUCUCAGACCUCAUUUCAGUUUCCUAUUUUGGAAUUGUGGCUUGCUCUAUCAUGGUCUCCGAUAGGGCCUUAGUCAAUUUAGAUUGUCGAUUUGGGGCAGUACAAGCUUUAAGAUAGGGAUGAAAUGUACCAGCCAAUGAAAAUGUGAUGCAUCAUGGUCCCAACAAGGCUUGGAGGGUUGCCAAUACAAGCUUAUUAUAUAGUGUGUCCAAUUUUGAGUCCUAUACGUGCCUGAGGAUACAGGAACUGUGUUUUCUCGAAACUUUGCAAUCACAUGGUGGGGUUGCAUAUUAUCUGUGUUUCAUGUAUUCACAGGUGUUGUGGUCCAUUAAUAACAUGUGGCUAUCAUGAAAUGGACUUGAUUGAAUUCAGUUUUAAUAAGUUGGAAUGUGAAAACUCUAUCGGCGAUAUCUUACUGAUUUUUUUUUUAAAAAUUUUUGGACAAAAAAGUAUUCUCUUUCCCUUCCUUUUUGCUCCUCUUUUCAGCUUGAUUUUGGAAUGAACUCUGAAACUUAGGCCUCAAAGAACAUAUGCCUAAGUUUAUAUGAUAAUAUAGAUAGAAAGCAUGGUGCCUUCUCCUAGCUGGCAGCAUACUUGAUUCAUAGCCCUGUGGACUAACAAAAUUUUAUGGAUCAUUUAGCAGAACUAAUCUCAUUUAUAUCAAUAAGUUUUGAAUCUUUCCUGAAUUCACAGGUAUUUUGAUUGCCUCAGAUUUCAUGCCUGCUGUUGGGCAUUGCCCUUGAAGUUUGGAGAAUAGGAGCCUUCUCUUGCUCUUCCAUCCGACAAUUGAUAUUGUUUACUGCUCUUCCAAUCUCCACUGAGCAGUGAAAUUUGUAACAGUAAUGGAACCUGUGAAAAGCGUUGAAAUUGAGAAAAGAACGCAGAGAUUAACACAAGAUUUAUUCAAAACAAACGUGCUCUCACCCUUUAAUACAUAUGAUGAAUCUCUACACAUCCUAUCUUGCAAGCGAACAAAUUUGUGCAACAGCAAACAAAUUCACAGAACAACUGCUGAAAACAGAAAGGAAGGAAACUGCUUUCUACAGGGGAGAUUCUAGAAAAUGAACAAGGCGAAGAAAAACACAGCACUGCAAUAUCUUCAGGCCUUCCCUUCUAUUCUUGCAUAUGUCAACCCAACACAUGCAUCAACGAAAUCCUCAUCAAUAAAAUCUGUUGAGAAGAUCUGCAGCCGAUCAGCACAACCUUGAGAGACACAUUUAGCUAUGAAAAGCCUAGCAUAUCCAUGGAUCCGCCUUGUCACAGGUUUGACACACAAGACUGGGUUAUCUGCCUGUGGAGUAACUGUAUUCUCGACCCUGUAAAAGAAUUUCCUGGAUGUAACAGGUGCUUGCUCGCUCAAAUGCUUUAUGUUGCUAUCAAAUUUUGUGGACGGUAAAUCUGUGUCGAUCCAGUUAUCUUUCAGGUGCCCUGCAUUCCAUAAUGGCCCUCCUGCCUUCGGUUGAGGUGACUUCCUUGGCUUCCAUACACAGAUAAUUCUCUUUGGCAACAGUUCUGCAAUUGUCUUUCCGAACACACGAUCAUCCUGGUGGAUUAGAAACUCGCCAAGCUGAUCCUCCAAGUACUUCUCGAAUUCAGGUGGGUCUUGGUGUCCAAACUCAGUGCGGAUCUCCAGGAUAAUAAUCUCUGACUGGGUCUCAGCCAAGAACUUCUUGAUGUCUUUGAUGACACUAUCAAUACUAUAUGUCACAAGGAUUCCAUGGCAGACCCGGCGAUCCUCCUGGACCCGGAUGUCAAGAACUCUGGUGCCUCUUACAAGCUGGUGAUAGAUGGACAAGGAUUGGCAUUGAGCAAAGGGCCGGCUGACGAGUGGGAUUCCAAUCUUGUUGGUUGCAGAAUCAUGGGUCCCUGGCCAUACAAUCUUGUUUAUGUGAACUUUCUCAGGGCCAAGGCCAGACAUCCAAUUCUUCCGAUCAGGAGGAUGGUAGUCUGAACCUGGGAACACAUCACCACAGGUUUGAUUGAGCUCACAGAGAGUUUUCUUCUGAGUGGAGAGUGCCUUCCGUCGUGCCAACUGCUUAGAAGCCUGAGAACCCAUUGUUGGAAUCAGAGAAGAAGAGGAAGAAUUGAGAAGAAGGGGAAGAAGAAUUGAGAAGGAGAAGUAUUCUCAAUUCUUCCUCUUUUUUCUUCUUCUUGUUCUUGUUUCUGGAGUGGGCUUUGCAGAGAACAUAUAUUGCUUUUAAUAUAUGGCAUUGUAAUGGAGGUUAGACUUUUUUGGAUUGUUGGAAAACUGUUGAAAAAUUGUUACCCCUUCUCUUCAUUUUCUUCUCAAUUAUCUUCAAUUAAUUAGUUUUUAGAUUGGAUUUC